UACGUAGGGUGCGAGCGUUGUCCGGAAUUAUUGGGCGUAAAGAGCGUGUAGGCGGUCUGUCGCGUCUGCUGUGAAAAUCCGGGGCUCAACCCCGGACUUGCAGUGGGUACGGGCAGACUAGAGUGUGGUAGGGGAGACUGGAAUUCCUGGUGUAGCGGUGAAAUGCACAGAUAUCAGGAGGAACACCGAUGGCGAAGGCAGGUCUCUGGGCCACUACUGACGCUGAGAAGCGAAAGCAUGGGGAGCGAACAGG
rnacentral:rRNA from 1 species